rnacentral:tRNA from 26 species
GGGUCGUUAGCUCAGUCGGUAGAGCAGUUGACUCUUAAUCAAUUGGUCGUAGGUUCGAACCCUACACGACCCACCA